UACUUUCCCUAAUAAUUAUAAGAAAUCAACACCAUCUCUCAAAAAAAUCAGAUACAUGAAAAAAACUAUAUUUCUCAGUAUUAAUUUUUCUACGAAUAUUCUUAAUCAUGACAUUUACUGCCAUAGAACUAAUUCUAUUCUAUAUUCUCUUUGCAGCAACCCUAAUCCCUACUCUAAUCACUGUCACUUGAUGAGGAGGCUGAAGAGAACAAUUCAAUGCAAGACUUUAUUUCCUGUCCUACACACUGAUUGGCUGUUCAACCCUACUCAUAGCAUUAAUCUAUAUCCAAAAUUCCUCAGACUCAUUAAUUUUUUUAAGAACCACUAUUGAAUUCAAACAUGACCAAGCUCCUGAUCUAAUGUCUCCCAUGAUUAGCCUACAUAAUAGCAUUCCUAGUAAAAAUACCCCUUUACGGCCUCCACCUCUGACUACCAAAAGCGCAUGUAGAAGCCCCAAUUGCAGCCACAUUACUAAAACUAGGAGGCUGUAGUAUAAAAUGAAAUUUUGCAAUUUUAAAUCCACUAACAGAAUACAUAACCUAAUCAUUUCUUAUAUUAUCCCUAGGAGGAACUAUCGUAACAGCUCUAUUUGUUUACACCAAACAAGACUUAAAAUCAAUCAUUACCUGUUCAUCCGUAAGUCUUGUAGCACUAGUAAAACUAGCCAUUUUUAUUCUAAUGCCAUGAAGUUUUACAGGAGCCACAGCCCUAAUAAUUGUCCGUGGCCUAAUGUCAUCAAUGUUGCUGUGCCUCAAAAACCCAAUCUAUGAGCGAAUCCAUACUUGAACUAUACUAUUAGCUCUCAAACUACAAAUAUUACUGCCUUUAAUAGCAACAUGAUGAGUACUGGCUAGCUAACUUAUCUAGCCCUACCACCACUAUGAACCUAAUUGGAAAAUUCUUUGUAGUUAUAGCAUUAUUUUUGUGAGCUGGUUUUACCACUAUCCUAAUAGGACUUAAUAUACUAAUUAGAGCCCUAUAUUUACCCUACAUAUUAAACACAAUAUGAUGAGGAAAGUGUACAUACCACAUUAAUAACAUUAAGCCAGCUGGUCACG
rnacentral:lncRNA from 1 species